rnacentral:rRNA from 1 species
CCCUUAGAUGUCCUGGGCCGCACGCGCGCUACACUGAGUGUCUGAGAUACGAGUCUGCCUGGUCCGGCAAGGUCUAGGUAAUCGCUAAAAGACACAUCAUGCUUGGGAUAGAUUAUUGCAAAUAUUAAUCUUGAACGAGGAAUUCCUAGUAAGCGCAAGUCAACAGCUUGCGUUGAUUACGUCCCUGCCCUUUGUACACACCGCCCGUCGCUACUACUGAUUGGAUGUUUAAGCGAGGUUCUCGAACUGCUAGCGACUUAGCUUCGGUGAGGUCGCAGUGUGGGAAGUGAACCUAGCUUUGGUGUCUAGAGGAAGUAAAAGUCGUAAUA